rnacentral:Y_RNA from 1 species
GGCUGGUCCGAUGGUAGCGGGUUACCAGAACUUAGUAACAUUAAUAUCUCUAAAGUUAGUAUACAACCCCCCACUGCUAAAUUUGGCUAUAAA